GGGGGUAUAGCUCAGUUGGCUAGAGCGCUACAAUGGCAUUGUAGAGGCCGUCGGUUCGAAUCCGACUAUCUCCACCA
rnacentral:tRNA from 3 species